GUGUCAGCAGCCGCGGUAAGACGAACCGUGCAAACGUUGUUCGGAAUCACUGGGCUUAAAGGGCGCGUAGGCGGGUGAGCAAGUCCGGGGUGAAAUCUUUCGGCUUAACCGGAAAAGUGCCUUGGAUACUGCUCGUCUGGAGGAAGGUAGGGGCAGGUGGAACUUCUGGUGGAGCGGUGAAAUGCGUUGAUAUCAGAAGGAACGCCGGUGGCGAAAGCGACCUGCUGGACCUUUUCUGACGCUGAGGCGCGAAAGCUAGGGGAGCAAACGGGAUUAGAUACCCGCGUAGUCC
rnacentral:rRNA from 1 species